UUGCGUCACCUCGAGCAAGUCGC
rnacentral:misc_RNA from 1 species